GCGGGCUGCUGAGGAACCUUUAAGGAUGCUAGACUGGCUUCUUUGGCCUGGGCAUUGUGCAUGAAGCCCACCACAUCGUCCAGACUCCAGCACAGGGCAUCUGCCAACAGGACCAGUGACUCAUCAAAGUACUCGGCCACCAUGACCAGGUCAAAGACUGAGUCCAACCAGGCCAGACCCCAUUGGAUAAAGGAUGAGGGCCUAAAAUCUGAGGAGACAAGGCUGGCUGGCUGCUUGUAACUAUCAGCAGCUGUGGUAACAGGACGGAAGAGAGUUCCAGGGCUAGCACCGGAAGGUACAAUAUGUAGCUGGAGAGAUUUGGGGUCUCUGGGUAGCUGGGGACUCACUUUCAUGGUCUUUGUCUCUGGGGGAGAGGGCAAACCAAAGUCAAACCAUAGUAAGUUACGGGCGUAGUGGUUGCCACGGGCUCCGGGUCUGUAGAAGGCUUGAGGAUUGGACAGGAAGGCGGCCAAAGACGGUGCCUUUCGGAAAGCCGAUGAAACUGAUUUGUAAUAGGAG
ensembl:antisense 6330418K02Rik RIKEN cDNA 6330418K02 gene